rnacentral:rRNA from 1 species
UAGUCCACGCCGUAAACGAUGAGAACUAGAUGUUGGGGGAAUUUGUCCUUCGGUGUCGCAGCUAACGCGUUAAGUUCUCCGCCUGGGGAGUACGCCGGCAACGGUAAAACUCAAAGGAAUUGACGGGGACCCGCACAAGCGGUGGAGCAUGUGGUUUAAUUCGAUGCAACGCGAAGAACCUUACCUGCCCUUGACAUUGACAGAAUCCUGUAGAGAUACGGGAGUGCUUCGGCCUGGAAAACAGGUGCUGCAUGGCUGUCGUCAGCUCGUGUCGUGAGAUGUUGGGUUAAGUCCCGCAACGAGCGCAACCCUUGUCCUUAGUUGCCAGCACGUAAUGGUGGGCACUCUAGGGAGACUGCCGGUGACAAACCGGAGGAAGGUAAGGAUGACGUCAAGUCAGCAUGCCCCUUAUGCUCUGGGCUACACACGUGCUACAAUGGCCGUGACAAAGAGUUGCUACUUUGUGAAAACAAGCUAAUCUCAUAAACGCGGCCUCAGUUCGGAUUG